rnacentral:lncRNA from 1 species
CCCCCGUCCGCCACCCCCCCGGCCUAGAACACCAGCGACACAGCGACCUCGGCUAGGUGGCACUUCUACUUACGGUGGCUAAUGGAGUUGAACACUACCAAGUAUUUCUAUUCACGACGGUUCAACUUGUGAAAGAGAUGCAAGAAAUAUAUAUUUGUGCCUGCUCCUACAAUGAUUGGCUGUAAUAGACCUGGCGACCUCAUUAUUACCUGUGAGUUACAAAGAAUAAAGUGUCAGCCUUUAAUCGAAAUACAUGAAAAGUAUCUCGCGUAAUUUAAUAUUGAUGUCUAUUUGCACUUAUGGUAAUGCUCUUCAAGAAUGAAUAAAGACGGUGACCACGUCGCGUCCAUUUAAUGCACGA